UUUAAAAAAAAUACAAUUAACACAAGGGACGUCUCUUGAUUAGGCGAUGCAAGAACUGUGUCUUAGCAUACACGUGUCGCUCUCUCUUGUCUUCCUCUCUCGGUCUCUAUCUCUUCAUCUUGUGUCUGCUCUAAGCCAUUGAUCGGAUCUCCGUUUGAUGCUUGAUUGAUUUAGAAUCGAUGUUUGAUUGAUUUAGAAUCGGGUCAGAUGAGGGAUUGGUGAUCCGGGAGCACUCGGGGCUUACUUUAGAGGAGGUCAGAGAAGAAGUUCUUCUUCUCCGAGGAUCCAAGAGUGUUGGAGGCGGCGUGUGCGUUGUCGGGGUUUGGGUUUCCUUGGAAUAAGCUUGGGAGGUUGUAUAAAGAGGAAAGAUCUGUUUUUUUUUUUUUUUUUGGCAGAGUGGGGAUGAGAUUGGUUUGGUGCUGGGUAGGUUGAAUGGUUUGGGGUUUAGUACUGUGGCUGAGGCUGGUGUUUGUUUAGCGUUUCCGAGUGUUCUGCGUUGUUUGUUUGUUAAGCUGAGGAGUUUGGUUCAGAGGAUGUUGUUGAAGAGAAUGUGGAGUCUUGGUACGCCUUUGGUAGGAAGGUUAGGGUGUUUUACGAUUUGGGGUUUGAGAGUGAGGAGAUGUGGGAGUUGAUGGGUAGAAACAGAUCAUUGUUUAUGGAAUGUUCAGAAGAAGCUCUUGUGAACAAGACUGAUUAUUUUUGUAGAUUUGGUAUUGGGAAAGAGGAAGCUGCUCUUUUGAUUCUACGAAAUCCUGAUGUUAUGAGUUUUGAUUUAGAGAAGCCUGUGAUCUCAAUUAAAGGAGUGCUGGAUUGAGUGAGGACGAAGUGGAUGCUCUUUCUCUGAAGCACCUCUCACGUUUUUGUUAGAAACAAGAUGAAGAAUCUGGUUUAUUUAUUGGCUUAUUUUCAUUCAGUUGCAUAUUUUGUUUUAUUUAUUGGCUUAUUUUGGGGGUUGUUAGUGUUGCAUUGAGUUUUAUUAUUUGAUCGUGCACUAUCUCUCCACUUAUCUGGUUUUGGUAUUAAUGUCCUCAAAUUAACAGUCAUGCUUCUGUUUCUUGUUCUUGUUUGUUGUUAUUUUCUGUCUUGUGUUGUGUUUAAUACAAAAGCUUAAUUUCUGUGUUGUGUUUAUUCAGAAUAUAGCUGCUGGCAAACAGGAAGAAGGUACGCUCAUCACUAGGCAAACUCGCAUACUCGAAGGUAGAACUAGAAGAUGAUGGUUCAGUUUCUGAAGUGGACAAGGACAUCAGUCUAUUGAAGCACGAAUCAAGCGUUUCUUUUUCCGGGGUAGUACCACGAGAAUAGAGACUCAGUUUAAUUUAACGGCUUCAAAUUGCUGAAGAUGCAGCCUGAGGUCUGGUGAACCUUAUUCGGAGAACAUUUCACGGAUGCGGUUGGGAGUCCAUUCUCCAUUUCGGCUGAAGUUCUGACCAAGGAUUACGAUCCAUAACCACUUAUUUGGAGCACGGGUGCGAUGAUUUAAAUGCUACUCUGGCUCCAGCUUUGGUUUGUGAGAAACGUAAGAAGAAAUCUUUGAGUGCGGUUUGGGAGGGUACACUUGAUUAAUCAUCAGAUCUUAGGCCACAAGUGUUUGAAUGGCUAAUAUCUUAUAAGAAAGAUGCUCGAGAGAGACCCAAGCGAAGUCUUGUUGCUCAACAAAUCUUGCUUUUUCAGGUCUUCCAUGAAUGCACCAGAUACACCGUCAAGAGUCGCUUGAAGAAUUUUUCAGCAAUAGACAAGCAAACAUGAUCAAUGUUGCUGAAUCAAUUUUAGAAUAGAUCUAUAACCGUCUAUGAUGAACCUAAGUAACACGAACCAAAUUAUCAAAUUUAGAACUGUGAAGUUUUUUUGGAUUAGGUUUUGAUAUUGGAGUUUUAAUCAGUGUUUCAUCUAAAGUCUUGUUUUUGUGAAAAACAGGUGUUUGAUCUAAAGUUAUUUAUUUUUA